AGCACAACCUCGUACCCAGGGCUUCUGCGCUUAUUGCUCUCUGAGAGCAAUAAGCGUAGAAGCCCUGGGUACGAGGUUCGGAGGUUGAAAU